rnacentral:rRNA from 1 species
CCUACGGGAGUCAGCAGUGGGGAAUAUUGGUCAAUGGGCGCAAGCCUGACCCAGCAACGCCGCGUGAAGGAAGAAGGCUUUCGGGUUGUAAACUUCUUUUAAGAGGGAAGAGCAGAAGACGGUACCUCUUGAAUAAGCCACGGCUAACUACGUGCCAUCAGCCGCGGUAAUACGUAGGUGGCAAGCGUUGUCCGGAUUUUCUGGGUGUAAAGGGCGUGCAGCCGGGAAGACAAGUCAGAUGUGAAAUCCCGCGGCGCAACAGCGGAACUGCAUUUGAAACUGUUUUUCUUGAGUACCGGAGGGAGAAUCGGAAUUCCGUGUGGAGCGGGGGAAUGCG